UUCCCAUUUAGGGGUACUGACCUGAGUGCCAUCUACCCAUCAAAGUGCUUAAGACCACAACAGCAACCCCUGAAGGUGACUAGUUUACUGCCAGCGAAGAGGAAUGUCUGGAUUCUCCUCUAAGUCCUUUGCACAAACUGCAGAAGCUGUCUCAUCCCAUCCUGAUGAAGCCCAUGCCUCUGACCAGAUUCUUCUAGAACUCAAGCAUAGGCAUUAGCCAUGGGGAUUCCCUUUUGGCCAAGAACCAGAGUCCCA
rnacentral:lncRNA from 1 species